GACGGGGGGGGCAAGUGUUAAUCGGAAUUACUGGGCGUAAAGCGCACGCAGGCGGUCUGUCAAGUCGGAUGUGAAAUCCCCGGGCUCAACCUGGGAACUGCAUUCGAAACUGGCAGGCUGGAGUCUCGCAGAGGGAGGUAGAAUUCCAGGUGUAGCGGUGAAAUGCGUAGAGAUCUGGAGGAAUACCGGUGGCGAAGGCGGCCUCCUGGACGAAGACUGACGCUCAGGUGCGAAAGCGUGGGGAGCAAACAGG
rnacentral:rRNA from 1 species